rnacentral:rRNA from 1 species
AGACGGGGGGUGCUAGCGUUGUUCGGAAUUACUGGGCGUAAAGGGCGCGUAGGCGGCUCUGCGAGUCGGGCGUGAAAUCCCGGGGCUCAACCCCGGAACGGCGCUCGAUACUGCGGGGCUGGAGACCGGAAGAGGAGGGUGGAAUUCCCAGUGUAGAGGUGAAAUUCGUAGAUAUUCGGAGGAACACCGGUGGCGAAAGCGGCUCUCUGGUCCGGUUCUGACGCUGAGGCGCGAAAGCGUGGGGAGCAAACAGGAUUAGAAACCCUAGUAGUCC